GUGCUCACUUGGGCAGCACAUAUACUAAAAUUAGAAUGACACAGGGAAGAUUAGUAUGGCCUCUGCACAAGGAUGAGACACAAGUUUGUGAAGCAGUCCAUAUUAAA
ensembl:snRNA U6 U6 spliceosomal RNA